CAGAAGGCUCACAGUAGAUGUGAAAGCUGAGAGCAUGCAGGGAAAUCACUGGCAGCAGGUUGGGUCAUGGACAGAGACACAUGGAUACAGUGAGAGCAUUCCAAGCUCAUUGAGUCACCAGGAGAUCGAUUUACCAGCCCAGAAGGUCACUGAAGAUUCAGCCCAGAGAAAAGAGUGUCUGGGAGUCUGAAGACCCAGCUAGGGCAAACACAGGUGAGGGUGGGGAGUACCACCAUCUUAGAGGUGAAGCUGGAAAAACGUGGUGAGAUGGAUUCAUACUGUACAAGAUGUGAGGAAUAUCCUUUUUAUCACAAGAAAGACUAUGAGAAUCCACCAAUGGAGGAGUGGCUAUUCACAAAGAUCUCAGAAACUGAGCAAUAUCAGGCCUGAAUGGCAACAGAUGGUUGGAGAAGAGGCCUCCUGAACACCAGGUGCCAUAGCCUCUUAAAAGGAGGAAGAAAUGAAAAGAAAAGGGAAGCGGCAAGGGGAAAGGAGGCAAGAAAGUGGGUACAUGUGCUGUAUGGGUAUGGGAGGGAAACUACGAAGAGAGUUCUUGCCCUUUAGAUAGACAAAGACUGCAAAUCAGACACAAAAAUCUGCUAAAGAAUGUUUGUAAGUUCAAUUUCAUCAAAAUUAAAACUUUUAGUUCAUCAAAAGAUUCAGGUUGCCGGGUGGUGGUGGUGCACGCCUUUAAUCCCAGCACUCGGGAGGCAGAGGCAGGAGGAUCUCUAUGAGUCCGAGACCAGCCUUGUCUACAAGACCUAGUUCCAGGACAGCCUCCAAAGCCACAGAGAAAUCCUGUCUUGAAAACACACACACACACACACACACACACACACACACACACACACACACACACACAAAACAACAACAACAAAGAUUCAAGUUAAGCAAAAAGAACAGAUACAGCGCAUUGUCAACCUCUGCAGUGUGUCCAUGAUGGUGUUUCCUGAAAGGCUUAACUGAGGUGAGGUGAGAAGUGCUAUCCUGGAUGAGGGCAGUGCCGGUCCAGAGACUGGAGUUCUAGCUUGAAUGAAAAGAAGAAAGUGAACUGAACACCAGCAUUCAUCCUCUGCUUCUCCGCUGCCCUCAAGGUGACCAGACAUUCCAAGCUCCUGUGGCCACACCUUCCUUGCCACGAGGAUUGCACUGCUUAACUAUGAGCCAAAACAAAUACUCUUUCCCUGAAGUUGCUUUUGUCUGGUAUUUUGUCACAGCUGUGAGAAAAGUCAGUAAUGCACAAAGUGAGAAAUAGAUUCAUAUCACAUGUAACAGUAAAGGGGCCUAUUCUGGAGACAUAAAGAAUUAUACAAGUAAAAACAGGGAGCCCAAAUGAAAAAACACAAGCACAAUCCUGAACAGGCAAGUUCCUCGUGAUGGUAGGGUGGAAUUUUAGUAUUUCUGUGAUAAACCACCACCAAAAGCAGGGUGGUGGAGGAAAGGGUUAUUUCAGCUUACAGCUACUGUCCAUCAUACAUAGGCAGGAACCUAGAGGCAGAAACUGAAGCAGAGGCCAUAGAAAAUCCACAUAGCAGCUUGAUAUGUUUUCCUCACUCUGUUUUCUUAUAUACCCAGGACCAACUGCCUAGGGGGCUGGGCCCUCUCACAUCAAUCAUAGGUCAAGGAGACAUCCCCACAGACUUGCCUACAAGCUACUCUGAUGGAGGCAUCUUCUCAAUUAAGGUUCCUUCUUCCCUUGACAAAAACUAACCAGCACAAAUGAUCAGUGAACAUAGAAAUUCUGUCAGUCAUCAGGGACACAAAUGGAGAGCAGAAUGAGGUUCAGCUUAGUUCUCUUAAGAAUAAGAAUGGAUAAUGUCAGGCCAUACCUGGUGUUGGUGAGCUUGUGGAAGCUGGAACUCUUCCAUAGACACUGCUGAUGGGGAUGAAAAUGGAGCAACCAUGGGGGAGGAGAGAUGACUGCCACAUCUACUAAAACAGAGUUUGUACAAAGUCCAUUCCUGGUAGAAAUGAGGACGUGAGUUCAUUGAAGACAAACACAAAAUAUACCCAUUGCAGCACUGUUCAUUUGUGACAAUCCCAGAUAAAAACAGUUCAGCUGGCCCUCAAGAGUGGCACAGUUAUAAAUGGUUGUUUGCUCAUAGAAUGGAAUGCUCCACUCCAUGGAAAAAAAUUAACCACUAUUAUACAUGACAUUGGUGAUUCUCUCAAAUAUAAUGCCAAGUGAAUGAAGCCAAUUACCAAAAAAGUACAUCUUGAUCUAUGUACUGGCUGGUUUUGUGUGUCAAUUUGACAAAAGCUCGAGUCAUCAGAGAGGAAAGGGCCUCAGUGAGGCAAACGCCUCCAUGAGAUCCAGCUGUAAGGCAUUUUCUCAAUUAGUGGUCAAUGGGGGAAGGUCCAGCCCAUGGUGGGUGGUACCAUCCCUGGUAAUCCUGGCUUUUAAAAGAAAACAGGCUGAGAAAGCCAUGUGAAGCAGCACCCUUCCAUGACUUCUGUAUCAGCUUCUGCCUGCAGGAUCCUGCCCUGUGUUUAUUGCCUGUGGUAAUGAACAGCAACGUGGAAGUGUAAGCUGAAUAAACCCUUUCCUUCCCAACUUGCUUUUUGGUCGUGGUGUUUUGUUGCAGCAAUAGAAACCCCAACUACGACAAUUUGAUUCUAUGCAUGUAAAGUUCAAAGCCCAGCAAAACUGAUCUAUGGUGUUCCAUUGCACAGUGGUGGCCCCUUUAAGAGGAAGGAGGAAGCAGAAGCAUGGAAGGAAAGCAAGAGAGCUGUGGUUGCUGGCAAUGUUUUACUUCUUGACCUGCUGGCAUUUCAUGUGGUGGAACAUGCAAGCUGGAUAGUGAUUUCUUUUCAACAUUCAUACCAACUUUGGAAAAGAAGAAUCACAAAUAACAAAGCCUGAGCUUCCCUGACCCAAACACAAAGGAUAUAGAGAGCAGGGCUUUAUCAGCCCAUCUGGGGAGCAGAGGACAUUAAAAUCCCAUCAUUCAUCCUAGAAGUAGGGAAUCUCACCAAAAAUGUGAAAAACCAACCACCUUCUUAUCAGACCUCUUCAACUGAGAUGAUCCCCAAAGGCGGUAGCCAGCUUGCCCUUUACUUCUACUGCAGAAACUCCUGCAGCGUUGUUGACUCCAUCUGAGAGCAUCAAAUCUCAAGAAGGACUGAGCAAGUUCAAGGUGGUGGGUGAGAACUUGCUUUCACUGGAGAGUCACAGCUGACUAAGAGUCACAGCUGGAUGCAGACGGAGAAUGAGAUUCUGGAAGCACAAAGAAUGAAUUCUCACUCCACUCUGGAUAUCUGCCUGGGACCAUGGUUCUUCAGCCAGUGGAAGAAUGCUCAUGAUCAAGACUCCUUCUGUGUAUUCCAGGUCCCUGCUGAACUUCAUAGUCUGGAAGUCUUGGCUGCUCAAAUUUUCUCACAGCCUGUCUUCCUGCAAAACACUCACAGAAAGAACAUAUGGGGCUGGUCUCAAUAUGGAUGCAGCUAAGACAUCAACCAUAGUGGAUCCAGAAUCAUCCCAUCUUUUUGUCCAUGGAUGCCUUGUUAUCAGGUCCAACCUCUUCAUUCUCCAACCCUAUUCCACUGCCAUCUUGUUGAGUGAUCAUGGGCAAAGGUUUAACCUCUCUUGGUUUCGAUGUAGUCACAUGUAAACUAUGUGCUAGAUAGUUUCUGUGUUCCCUCCUGUUCCAGGACUUGGCCCUUUGGAAACAAAGUGCUUUAUCAUUCAGUACACAAGAAGGCACUAACUAGUGCUGUGUCAAGCACUGGCUGCAAGAAACAACAAUUUUUGUUUAUUAAUUGUUAUUUUCUUACUCUUUCUAACAAGCAAUGGUCCUCUCUGACCAUCAGGCUUCUUAGAACCCUUCAGCAGCUUCCCCAUCGUACUUUGUAGAAACAUCAAGACAAAGUGGCAUCCUAUCCUGUGACAUUACCUCACACUUAGUUAAUACACUCCAGAUGCACCAGCUUUCUUUCUGUCUCUCUCUUUCUGGAAUAGGCUGAGCCAUAUCAACUAAAGACUUUUUGCAAGAACUUUUUGUCCUACCAGGAAUGUUCAUCCCCAAGGCAACCUAUGAUUGUCCCUUUCUCAUCAUAUAUGUCCUCAGGGUACCUUGUGAGUUAGUCUCCCCACUUUCAUUUACCUUGUUUUAUUAUGGCUAGUGGAUGAAACCUAUUGUCUAUAGAUUCUUUUGUGCUGCAAGAGCUGGCUGAAUAUUAUGUAUGAGGCAUAGACACAGAGACUGUACCAUCUGCUAGUUGAAAACAUUCAUCAUCUGGUUUAUGUAGGGAAAGAUUUCUAAUCCCUGUAUCCUAUAGUGUCAUUUAUUCACAGUGCAUAUAGUAUUUUAACUGUUAAACCAAACUUCUUCCUAUUUUGUUUGCUUUUAACUUUUUUCCCUAACAAGAAUGUAAAUGCCUUCAAGUUAAGGGACUCAUCUGUCUUGAUCUAGGUGGUUUUAUUAGCCUGACACAAAGCCAAUAAAUAAUGGUAGAACAGAUGGACCAGGUCUAUUUCCUUUUGCUCAACAGAAGCAACAAAAAGUUUAAUAUUCAUCAUAAAAUAAAACUCUCCACCUCCUGGCCUUUACAACAGUCCCAUGAUCCACUGCCAAGCUCUUCUCUACCCCUGCCUCUAAUUCUCAUUAUGUUAAUUUUUUUUUUUUUUUGCUUUGUGCUGACACUCCUAACUGCCAGUAACUUCUUUCCUCUCUCUCUGACAACUCUCUGGCCCAGUUCUUGGCCCUCAGUGAAACUUGCAGCCCUCCAGGCAGAAAUUGAUUGCUAGGAUGCCAAUUCAGGCCAGUACUGCCUCCCUUUUAGAUAUUUAUGGGCAGGGCUCUGAAUUGUGAGGGACUCAUGAACUCAGACACAUUUUUAAGAGAACUUUAUAGUUAAACCUCUGUUUGGCUAAGGGCUUAUUUUUAAAAAUAAUAAAUCUAGGUUCUUAGAGAAUAGAACUCAAGGGGCAGAAGUUUGAAUCUAUAAAGUUCACAUAUCAGUCAUGGAGGAGCCCUUGCAGCCAUCUAGUGUUUCUCAAACUUCUCUAUCUCAGUCCACCUAAUGGUAGAUCUGAAUAUCAUAUCUCCCCACAUGGAAAAAGAGUCAGUGCUUACACUAAAUCUCCAUAAUGUUUUUCACUGCGAUAAUUCAUUAUAACAUUGUGCUGGUUGGUUUUUGUCAACUGGACAUAAACCUAGAUAUACCAGAGGAGAGAGAAUAUAAACUGAAAAAAUUGCAUAUCUCAGAUUUACCCAGGGGUUAUCUGUAGGGUAUUGUGGACUGUGGGGGUAUAGUCUUUAUUAAUGACAGAUGUGAGAGGGCCCAGCUCACUGUGGGCAGUGCCAUCCCUGGGCAAGAAGUCAUGGCUUCUAUAAAGCAGCAGUCUGAGCAAGCCAUGAGGAGCAAUUCAGUAAGCAGCACCCCUCUAUGUCCUCUCCUUCAGUUUCUACCCUUUAUGAUGGACUACAAACUGUAAGCCAAAAUAAACCCUUUCCUUCCAC
rnacentral:lncRNA from 1 species